UACGAAGGGGGCUAGCGUUGCUCGGAAUUACUGGGCGUAAAGCGCACGUAGGCGGCUCUUUAAGUCGGAGGUGAAAUCCUGGAGCUCAACUCCAGAACUGCCUUCGAUACUGUAGAGCUUGAGUUCGGGAGAGGUGAGUGGAACUGCGAGUGUAGAGGUGAAAUUCGUAGAUAUUCGCAAGAACACCAGUGGCGAAGGCGGCUCACUGGCCCGAUACUGACGCUGAGGCACGAAAAGCGUGGGGGAGCAAACAGG
rnacentral:rRNA from 1 species